rnacentral:antisense_RNA from 1 species
AAUAACCAAAAAUAGUAGCAGGACUAAUAGUUGCGUCAGUAAUUAAACGAACGUCACCACCUCCAGGAGCCCAAGUAUCAUAAACACCACCGAAAUAUGAAGCUUUUAAAACUAAUAACCAAGAUCCUAAUCCUAAAAGGAUUAAAUGAAUACCUAAAAUAGUUGUCAUUUUGUUUUUGUCUUUCCA